UACAUGUGCCACACGGGCCGGGCCGUGAGCUCAGAAUUCGUGCAUCAGGAACAUGUAUUAAGAGAAAUGCAGGGGAUCCCUGGGUGGCUCAGCAGUUUAACGCCUGCCUUCGGCCCAGGGUGUGAUCCUGGAGUCCUGGGAUUGAGUCCCACGUCGGGCUCCCUGCAUGGAGCCUGCUUCUCUCUCUGCUCUGUGCCUCUGCCUUUCUCUCUCUCUCUCUCUGUCUCUCAUGAAUAAGUAAAUAAAAAUCUUAAAAAAAAAAAAAAAAAAAAAAGAGAAAUGCACCUGAAGAGGGUUAUGGACUGACGAGCUGCCGAGAAUGUGUGAGCAGCGGCUCCCGGGAACCUGAGCCCCAUGCUUCCCCUGCACGUCGCGGUUCAGCCUUGGCUCAGCCUGUGUUCACGGUGACUUCACAGAGCGUGACAACCACAGAAAUGAGACUCGGCUGUAGGUGCGUCGUGUAGACGUGUUGGCCCCCCUGCACUGUCCGUGCUUCUGCUGCUUGCACUUCAUGCCUCUGACCAAGAAGUGCUAUUCCACGCGUGCUCUGUCUUCGUGGCACUCAAGGCCCUGGGACAUGCACUGUCCCUCUGGCUCCAGGCCAUGGCCCUCCCCCCUCUGGUGACAUUCAGGCCUGGGGCAGUCUCCACAAAGGGGAGGGGUCCGUGCUAUUUCAUGUUCUGUGAUUCGAGGAGAAGAGUCUGUGCAGGGGUGCCUGGUGGCUCCGUCUGUUGAGCGUUGACUCUGGGUUUCCGCUCAGGCUGCGAUCUUAGGGUCGUGAGACAGACCCGGGUCAGGAUCCACGCUGGGCACUGAGUCCACUUGAGGUCCUCUCUCCAUCGGCUUCUGCCCCUCACGUGUGCGCAUGCACACCCACCCUCCCACUCGCUCUCUUGCACGCUCUCUAUAAAAUCAAUAGGUGAAUCAUUUUAAAGGAGAAUCUUUGUGGGGAGCAGCAUGGUAAUCAAGGCAAGUGAGAAGCAAGGCUCCUUGGUGGUCGCGGUAUAAGUAGUAAUCACGGCGCUUACGCCCGCAGGCUCUACAUCAGGCCCUUCGCUGAGAGCUUUUUUGAGUUAAUUGUCCCAAUCCCAGGGGGCUGGGGUCACAAUGCCCAGUUCACAGCUCACAGAUAAGGAAACGCAGGCCCAGCGAGUGACUGAAUCUGAGCUCUCGGCAGAGGAGCCAGCACCUGGGUCCAGCUUUGUCUGAGCCCUCAGCCCCGAGCCCCGGUCCCUGCAUCCCAAGGACCUAGAGCCUGCUGGGCCUGGAUCCUUGAGGGAACGCUGCCCCCCCCAGCCUUCUAGACCCCCUCGCCUCCCACACCCCCUACCCCGCGGUUUGGCCCAGUGGAGUGGGCCAGGUGGACAACCCAUCUGUGCCUUGUCACCCGCUAGCAGGGCCCGCCCCGUAACCCAGGCCUGGGGUUGCAGGGACAUAGCUUAGCCAGGCUGGGCUGCCGUGUGCCUGUCGUGUCUUGGGGCUUCGCUCUGCCCGCCACAGCGCCCCCGACGGCCCCAAAGGGAAGGAGCCAGCAUCCAUGGCUUCCUGCAGCUCCAGGUCUUGACCACUCGGCACUGGGGACCUUGUCCACAUCAGGUCGGGCACAGUGUGCACCGCGGGUGUGACAGGGACCAGUGGGCAGCGGGGGACGCGGACCCACAGGAGACGCAGCCCUAAGGGUGGGAUUUCCCGCAGUGACUGGGACAUCCCUUUUGUUCCUUGGGGGAGGGGGUACCAGUUGGGAGCUGGUGGCUGCCCAGAAGUACCGGCGGGCUGGGCUGCAGCGUCCACGUGACUGCUGAUCCCCCAGGAGAGGAAAUGUGGUCACAACUGUUGGGUGGGUUGCCGCGUGACUCAGUGUCACCAGGGGUGGGAGGAACGGGAUGCGGCGAUCAUUUCCUGCAAGGUGCUCGGGGCACGGCCCCACACAGCCCCCGGCAGAGCCUGAGGGGAGGUGGCCACGGUAGUCAGCGCAGCAUUUGGCCCCGAGCCCUGGGCCCAGCUGUGCCCGCCCCCCUGCAGCUUAGAAACGGGGUUUGCCUUGUCAGAGCACACCCCAUACUAUGGUCAUGUUUCACCUUGCAGCCACCCUCCAACAUCGUUGGGUCGGAGAACGAGGCCCAGAGAAGGAGGGAGACCUGUCCAAGGACACACAGCAAGCCUAUGGCACAGGGUGGAACAGGCCCUGGCUCCCACUUCCCAUACCCCUGAGGAGCCCUCGUUGAGCUCCAUGCCAAGUCGAGUCCGUCUUGUCCCCACUAUGCGCCAUGGGGUCAGUGUUCCCCUCACUCGCAUCUUCCAGGUGGUGAGAAGCCAGGUUCCAUGUGAGAUUGGGUCGGAGGCUCAGGGCGAGGAUAGAGCACUCCCAGCAGAGGCCCUCAGGGGCCCAAGGGCACAGAGGGCCCCGUCUGUCUGCCAGGGGCCUCAUGACCCCCAGGGCUGGGCUCCUCCCGCCCUGCCCCACUGCCUCUCCCUCCCCAGCCUCGGGGCAGGUGGGGAAGGGAGCACCGUGCCCUCCCUUCUUCCCCAGAUGAUGGAGACUCAGUGAGCAAGUGGGAAGCAGGGGCAGAGGCUGGGGUCACGAGGCUGGCGCUCCCGGAGGUAAGGAGCUGCCAAGAGCAAGGGACGCUUCCUCCCAGGACCCAGCGAGCUCUUCCCAGGGCCACCCUGGGAAGGACCAGGCAUCAGCAAGGUGAGCAGGGACCACAGGGGCUUCGCGGAAGCCGAGGAAGGGGUGGGCUGGGAUCCGUGAGCACAUCCGGACCCAGGGCAGCCUCCUGGGAAGGGGCCCUCAGUGCUGCCACCUGUGAUCUGGAGCACAGUUUUGCCCUCCAAGAGCUUUCCCAACACAGUAACGACAAAUGACAGUGACGCUGAACAUGCAUAUAAUUUCCUUUUCAUCUUCUUUCUCUCCUCUUUCUGAGGAAAAACAAAUCCCCCACAUAGUGCUCGAAUUCACACACAAUGGUGUAAAGCUGUAGACCUGUGGUGUCCAGGGCCUUGGCCACCAUGUAGCUGCUUUACAAGUUACAUUAAUUAAAAUGAAGUAACAGGGGCACCUGGGUGGCUCGUGCCUUAAGUGCUCGACUCUUGGUUUCAGCUCAGGUCAUGACCUCAGUGUUGUGGGAUCAAGCCCUGCAUGGGGCUCCAUGCUCAGCAUGGAGUCUUCUUGACUCUCUCUCUCUCUCUGCCCCUCCCCCUGGCACUUUCUCUCUCUCCAAAUUAAUCUUUAAAAAAUAAAUACAUAAAUAAAUAAAUAAAUAAAU
rnacentral:lncRNA from 1 species